rnacentral:rRNA from 1 species
UGAGUAACACGUGGGUGAUCUGCCCUGCACUUUGGGAUAAGCCUGGGAAACUGGGUCUAAUACCGGAUAGGACCACAUGCUUCAUGGUGUGUGGUGGAAAGCUUUUGCGGUGUGGGAUGGGCCCGCGGCCUAUCAGCUUGUUGGUGGGGUAAUGGCCUACCAAGGCGACGACGGGUAGCCGGCCUGAGAGGGUGUCCGGCCACACUGGGACUGAGAUACGGCCCAGACUCCUACGGGAGGCAGCAGUGGGGAAUAUUGCACAAUGGGCGCAAGCCUGAUGCAGCGACGCCGCGUGAGGGAUGACGGCCUUCGGGUUGUAAACCUCUUUCAGUAGGGACGAAGCGCAAGUGACGGUACCUAUAGAAGAAGCACCGGCCAACUACGUGCCAGCAGCCGCGGUAAUACGUAGGGUGCGAGCGUUGUCCGGAAUUACUGGGCGUAAAGAGCUCGUAGGUGGUUUGUCG